CAGGUUUCUGUAAAAGGGAUUGCCUGAACGGUGGCAUGCACGCAGCAUCAGCAGGGACAUCAGAAGUAUUAAAACACUGUUUUGUUUUUGAAAGUCUGGACUCAGAAUCAGCUGGAAAAGUAAUGUGAUUCCAAGUGACUGCUUACAAUGUAGGUCAGUUCAAUGCAAAAGUGAAAGCACAUGUACCAUCAAAUUCCCACGUCUGGAGGGAGAGGGAGUGCAAGUCCAAAAAGCCCCAGAACUUAUGUGUGACUCGUGUUUUCCGAAACAAAUAUGGACUUUAGAUGGAAGUGACAACUGUUAACUGUGUCAAAGAAACAGAGAUCAAGAAUGGGCAUACGUGUGGAAGUGACCAGUCAAGCCUCACAGCAUGGAAAGAUGUCAAAAACCCAACAGCAGAGAAUAAAGGGAUGUGAGAUGUGCUGUGCUCUUGGGAAUUUUGCCAUGGAAGCAGAACAGAGUUUUUCUUUCAGCAUUUCAGUACCCAUCACCAUAUUAUCUAGGCGCCACCGUAAGAUUAAGAAGCUCUGCAGUGACAUUCUCAACAUGAUCUGUUCAAAGGUCGUUAGCAGAGCCUUUCAUAUUGGAAAAGAUUGGAGGAGAGUACGGAAGUGAGCCACAGGAGGAGAGAAAAAGGAAAAGGAAAAGGAGGCGGCCUCUUCACCACAUGGAGAUCUGCCUUGUUCUUUUUGCCAAAGCCUUUCCAAUCUGUCAGCCUUACUCAUGAACUCCAUCCCCUACAACCAGACACACAACUGUCUUAAAAAAGAUUUGAGUGCCUCAGCCUCCACAAGCCCAAAUCCAUGGGAGCUGAUUCUGGAGAAAGGUGCAAUUGACCAUAUUUUUUACUGGCAGAGGAAGAACUACCAAGGAGUCGUGGUGUCAAGUGGGAGCAUUUCCUCAUCUAAAUAAAAUGAUCUAAAAA